rnacentral:rRNA from 1 species
UACAUGACAAGUCGAACGGGGUUUGCCAGCAAUGGCAAGCCUAGUGGCGCACGGGUGCGUAACGCGUAUGCAACCUACCUUUUCCAGGGUGGAUAGCCUUCCGAAAGGGAGAUUAACACCGCAUAAGAUCAUUGAACGGCAUCGUUUGGUGAUGAAAUCCACGGAGGGAAAAGAUGGGCAUGCGUCCGAUUAGCUAGUUGGCGGGGUAGAGGCCCACCAAGGCGACGAUCGGUCGGGGACCUGAGAGGGCGAUCCCCCACACUGGCACUGAGAUACGGGCCAGACUCCUACGGGAGGCAGCAGUAGGGAAUAUUGGGCAAUGGAGGCGACUCUGACCCAGCCAUGCCGCGUGCCGGAAGAAGGCGCUACGCGUUGUAAACGGCUUUUUUUCGGGAAGAAAACGCUCCUGCGGGAGUAACUGACGGUACCGAAGGAAUCAGCACCGGCUAACUCCGUGCCAGCAGCCGCGGUAAUACGGAGGGUGCAAGCGUUGUCCGGAUUCAUUGGGUUUAAAGGGUGCGCAGGCGGGAGGUUAAGUCAGGGGUGAAAGACGGUUGCUCAACAAUCGCAGUGCCCUUGAUACUGGCUUUCUUGGGUGACCUUGAGGUAGGCGGAAUGGGUGGUGUAGCGGUGAAAUGCAUAGAUACCACCCAGAACUCCGAUUGCGAAGGCAGCCUACUGGAGGUUAACCGACGCUCAGGCACGAAAGCGUGGGGAUCAAACAGGAUUAGAUACCCUGGUAGUCCACGCCGUAAACGAUGAUCACUGGCUGUGGGGACAUUGGUUUCCGCGGCUGAGCGAAAGCGUUAAGUGAUCCACCUGGGGAGUACGCCCGCAAGGGUGAAACUCAAAGGAAUUGACGGGGGCCCGCACAAGCAGCGGAGCGUGUGGUUUAAUUCGAGGCUACCCGAAGAACCUUACCUGGGUUUGACAUGCUCGUAGUAGCGAGACGAAAGUUGAGCGACCUUCGGGAGCGAGCACAGGUGCUGCAUGGCUGUCGUCAGCUCGUGUCGUGAGAUGUACGGUUAAGUCCGCAAACGAGCGCAACCCCCGGGCGUAGUUACACGGUGGUCUACGACGACUGCCCGUGAGAAACGGGAGGAAGGUGGGGAUGACGUCAAGUCAGCAUGGCCUUUAUAUCCAGGGCGACACACACGCUACAAUGGACGGUACAAUCGGGAGCGAAAGCGCGAGCUGGAGCCAAUCCGCCAAAGCCGUUCGUAGUUCGGAUUGCAGGCUGCAACCCGCCUGCAUGAAGUUGGAGUUGCUAGUAACCGCCGGUCAG